GGGGCGCCGAGACGCGGGCGCGCGCGGGGGGAGUGUGGCGGCGUGCGGCGCGGGGCUGCUGGCUGGAGUGCACCGGAUCCACUUGUUCACUUUUCCCUGCGAGGAAAACCAUUCGAUCGCAGCGAAAGUAACUCCGACGCCCGCGUGGGUUGGGCCGGGGGCACUUCUCAGUGAUUUCCACCUCAGCGCGGCUCUCACUUUACAGGGUACAAGAGACCAAGCUUGGAAACCAGAAGCUGGAGAUCAGGAAAGGAGGGAAGGAGAAACGGAUGCGUCUGGGAGGAAAUACAUUGUUUACAUUCACAGCCUACCCAUUUGCUUACCUUCUUAAAGCCCCAAAACUUGUAGGAGAUUAGCCAUUUACUUGGUAUUCAAAUAAACUGUGUAAGAAUUUGAGGCACUAAGUGGA